UACGAAGGGGGAGCUAGCGUUGCUCGGAAUCACUGGGCGUAAAGGGUGCGUAGGCGGGUCUUUAAGUCAGGGGUGAAAUCCUGGAGCUCAACUCCAGAACUGCCUUUGAUACUGAGGAUCUUGAGUUCGGGAGAGGUGAGUGGAACUGCGAGUGUAGAGGUGAAAUUCGUAGAUAUUCGCAAGAACACCAGUGGCGAAGGCGGCUCACUGGCCCGAUACUGACGCUGAGGCACGAAAGCGUGGGGAGCAAACAGGGA
rnacentral:rRNA from 1 species